rnacentral:rRNA from 1 species
GACGAACGCUGGCGGCGUGCUUAACACAUGCAAGUCGAACGAUGAAGCCGGAGCUUGCUCUGGUGAAUUAGUGGCGAACGGGUGAGUAACACGUGAGUAACCUGCCCUUGACUCUGGGAUAACUGCGGGAAACUGUAGCUAAUACCGGAUACGACCCUCGGAGGCAUCUCCUGGGGGUGGAAAGAAUUUCGGUCAAGGAUGGACUCGGGGCCUAUCAGCUAGUUGGUGAGGUAACGGCUCACCAAGGCGACGACGGGUAGCCGGCCUGAGAGGGUGACCGGCCACACUGUGACUGAGACACGGCCCAGACUCCUACGGGAGGCAGCAGUGGGGAAUAUUGCACAAUGGGCGCAAGCCUGAUGCAGCAACGCCGCGUGAGGGAUGACGGCCUUCGGGUUGUAAACCUCUUUUAGCAGGGAAGAAGCGAAAGUGACGGUACCUGCAGAAAAAGCACCGGCUAACUACGUGCCAGCCGCCGCGGUAA